rnacentral:rRNA from 1 species
UGCAGUCGAGCGCACCCUUCGGGGCGAGCGGCGGACGGGUUAGUAACGCGUGGGAACAUACCCUUUUCUAUGGAAUAGCCUUUGGAAACGAAGAGUAAUACCAUAUACGCCCUACGGGGGAAAGAUUUAUCGGAGAAGGAUUGGCCCGCGUAAGAUUAGAUAGUUGGUGGGGUAAUGGCCUACCAAGUCUACGAUCUUUAGCUGGUUUUAGAGGAUGAUCAGCAACACUGGGACUGAGACACGGCCCAGACUCCUACGGGAGGCAGCAGUGGGGAAUAUUGCACAAUGGGGGCAACCCUGAUGCAGCCAUGCCGCGUGUGUGAAGAAGGCCUUCGGGUUGUAAAGCACUUUCAGUUGUGAGGAAAGGUUGAUGGUUAAUACCCAUCAGCUGUGACGUUAGCAACAGAAGAAGCACCGGCUAACUCCGUGCCAGCAGCCGCGGUAAUACGGAGGGUGCGAGCGUUAAUCGGAAUUACUGGGCGUAAAGCGCACGCAGGCGGUUAUAUAAGCUAGAUGUGAAAGCCCCGGGCUCAACCUGGGAAUAGCAUUUAGAACUGUAUGACUAGAGUCUUGGAGAGGGGAGUGGAAUUCCAGGUGUAGCGGUGAAAUGCGUAGAUAUCUGGAGG